AUGAUGAAAAGCUCUGUGACGAUGGGUCGUCACGUUGUCACCUUCUCCGAUGAUACGAGCACCUCUGAGCUUCAAUCUUUUUUUUUCUUUCUUUUUUUCUCCGGUCUCCCCGGCCUCGCAGACAAUUUUGGUCCGUUGAUUUAUCUCAAGUAGUCCAAAACGCGUAGCAUAUCGCCCGCAGCUGCCCCUGCCCGCCACGAUGCCGCCGCCCCUGCAGCCUCCACUGUUGCUGCGCCUUCACCUCCUCUUCCGCUCUGAAACCCAAAUUCCUUUACUCCGGCGACGACCCAGCUGCGACGCGCCCCAUUGCCGGACCAGGAGGGUUGGAGGCGGCGGCAGUGGGCUUCGUCACCGGUAAGAGGAAGGCCACCGAGGUAGCCCAAGCGUAGGUUCUGGAGAAAUAUUGUUCAGAAAGGGGAUACGGUGGUCGAUGCCACAUGCGGCCAUGCGGGAAUGACAAUGACACGCUCGCUCUGCUUAAGAUGGUGGCUGACAAAACAGGCCGUGGAUGUGUUUAUGGGAUGGACAUUCAAGAAUCUGCGAUAGAGAAUACUUCCUCUUUUCUGAAAAUGGCCGUGGAUGAUGAACAUCAUGUGUGGGUUUGAACUAUGAAGCUUUUACCUAAUUUCCCCUGAAGAAUGAAAUAGAAAGGAGACACUUAUGAAUUCUGAUUUGACAUUAUUAUUUACUAUUCAGAUACAGAGGAUACUUGUCAUCUUCUCACUGAAUAUUUGAUAUAUCUGUACCUGUCAUUGUAUUUGUUUUAUGUGGCAGCAGGGACUGGUAAAACUAUUUCCUAUAUGGUCAUAGUAGAAUGGAAGAGAUUGUUCCCAAA